rnacentral:rRNA from 1 species
GACGAACGCUGGCGGCGUGCUUAACACAUGCAAGUCGAACGGAAAGGCGCGUUUGUUGGUACUCUGGUGGCGGACGGGUGAGUAACAGGUACGUAACCUGCCCUUACCUUCGGGAUAACGUCAGGAAACUGGGGCUAAUACCGGAUAGGAAUCCUUUCUGCAUGUUGGGGGUUGGAAAGCUUCGGCGGUUUUUGCUGGAUUCUGGGCUUAUCAGCUUGUUGGUGGGGUGGUGUCUUACCAAGGCUUCGUCCGGUAGCCGUCCUGAGGGGGCGACCGACCAUAUAGGGACCGAGAUACGGCCCAGGCACCUAAGGGAGGCAGAUGGGGGGAAUACUGCACAAUCGGCGCCACCUGGGUGCAGCAGCGCUGCGGGUGGGAAGACGGGCUUCGUGUUGGAGAACGCGUUUAUCAGGGGCGGUGCUCGUGGUGACGGUACCUGCAGAGGAAGCACCGGCUAACUACGUG